rnacentral:rRNA from 1 species
AGGGGGCUAGCGUUGUUCGGAAUUACUGGGCGUAAAGCGCACGUAGGCGGGUCGUUAAGUCAGGGGUGAAAUCCCAGAGCUCAACUCUGGAACUGCCUUUGAUACUGGCGACCUAGAGUUCGGAAGAGGUUAGUGGAAUUCCCAGUGUAGAGGUGAAAUUCGUAGAUAUUGGGAAGAACACCAGUGGCGAAGGCGGCUAACUGGUCCGAUACUGACGCUGAGGUGCGAAAGCGUGGGGAGCAAACAGG